rnacentral:rRNA from 1 species
AGAGUUUGAUCCUGGCUCAGGAUGAACGCUGGCGGCGUGCCUAAUACAUGCAAGUCGAACGCGGGCACUUGUGCCCGAGUGGCGAACGGGUGAGUAAUACAUAAGUAACCUGGCCUUUACAGGGGGAUAACUGCUGGAAACGGCAGCUAAGACCGCAUAGGUAGGGACACUGCAUGGUGACCGUAUUAAAAGUGCUGCAAGGCACUGGUAGAGGAUGGACUUAUGGCGCAUUAGCUGGUUGGUGAGGUAACGGCUCACCAAGGCGACGAUGCGUAGCCGACCUGAGAGGGUGACCGGCCACACUGGGACUGAGACACGGCCCAGACUCCUACGGGAGGCAGCAGUAGGGAAUUUUCGGCAAUGGGGGGAACCCUGACCGAGCAACGCCGCGUGAAGGAAGAAGGAAUUCGUUCUGUAAACUUCUGUUAUAAAGGAAGAAAGACGGAUGGAGGAAAUGACAUCCGAGUGACGGUACUUUAUGAGAAAGCCACGGCUAACUACGUGCCAGCAGCCGCGGUAAUACGUAGGUGGCAAGCGUUAUCCGGAAUUAUUGGGCGUAAAGAGGGAGCAGGCGGCGGCAAAGGUCUGUGGUGAAAGACUGAAGCUUAACUUCAGUAAGCCAUAGAAACCGGGCAGCUAGAGUGCAGGAGAGGAUCGUGGAAUUCCAUGUGUAGCGGUGAAAUGCGUAGAUAUAUGGAGGAACACCAGUGGCGAAGGCGACGAUCUGGCCUGCAACUGACGCUCAGUCCCGAAAGCGUGGGGAGCAAAUAGGAUUAGAUACCCUAGUAGUCCACGCCGUAAACGAUGAGUACUAAGUGUUGGAAGUCAAAUUUCAGUGCUGCAGUUAACGCAGUAAGUACUCCGCCUGAGUAGUACGUUCGCAAGAAUGAAACUCAAAGGAAUUGACGGGGGCCCGCACAAGCGGUGGAGCAUGUGGUUUAAUUCGAAGCAACGCGAAGAACCUUACCAGGUCUUGACAUACUCAUAAAGGAUCCAGAGAUGGAUAGAUAGUUAUAUGAGAUACAGGUGGUGCAUGGUUGUCGUCAGCUCGUGUCGUGAGAUGUUGGGUUAAGUCCCGCAACGAGCGCAACCCUUGUCGUUAGUUACCAUCAUUAAGUUGGGGACUCUAGCGAGACUGCCAGUGACAAGCUGGAGGAAGGCGGGGAUGACGUCAAAUCAUCAUGCCCCUUAUGACCUGGGCUACACACGUGCUACAAUGGAUGGUGCAGAGGGAAGCGAAGCCGCGAGGCGAAGCAAAACCCAUAAAACCAUUCUCAGUUCGGAUUGUAGUCUGCAACUCGACUACAUGAAGUUGGAAUCGCUAGUAAUCGCGAAUCAGCAUGUCGCGGUGAAUACGUUCUCGGGCCUUGCACUCACCGCCCGUCA